rnacentral:rRNA from 1 species
GCGCACCAGGCGAGAAUACUCCGCAAUACACGAAAGUGUGACGGGGCCAUCCCGAGUGCCGUCCGCUGAGGACGGCUUUUCCCCAGUGUACACAGCUGGGGGAAUAAGGAGAGGGCAAGCCUGGUGUCAGCCGCCGCGGUAAUACCAGCUCUCCGAGUGGUGGGGACGCUUAUUGGGCCUAAAGCAUCCGUAGCCGGCUGGGCAAGUUCUCCGUUAAAUCCAACGAUUCAAUCGUUGGGCUGCGGGGGAUACUGUCCAGCUUGGGGGCGGGAGAGGCCGACGGUAUUCCCGGGGUAGGGGUGAAAUCCUAUAAUCCCGGGAGGACCACCAGUGGCGAAGGCUGUCGGCUAGAACGCGCCCGACGGUGAGGGAUGAAAGCUGGGGGAGCGAACCGGAUUAGAUACCCCCGUAGU